rnacentral:rRNA from 1 species
CCUACGGGGGGCUGCAGUGGGGAAUAUUGGACAAUGGGCGAAAGCCUGAUCCAGCCAUGCCGCGUGUGUGAAGAAGGCCUUCGGGUUGUAAAGCACUUUCAGUGGGGAAGAAAGCCUUGGGGCUAAUACCCUCGAGGAAGGACAUCACCCACAGAAGAAGCACCGGCUAACUCCGUGCCAGCAGCCGCGGUAAUACGGAGGGUGCGAGCGUUAAUCGGAAUUACUGGGCGUAAAGCGCGCGUAGGCGGUCUGAUAAGCCGGUUGUGAAAGCCCCGGGCUCAACCUGGGAACGGCAUCCGGAACUGUCAGGCUAGAGUGCAGGAGAGGAAGGUAGAAUUCCCGGUGUAGCGGUGAAAUGCGUAGAGAUCGGGAGGAAUACCAGUGGCAAAGGCGGCCUUCUGGACUGACACUGACGCUGAGGUGCGAAAGCGUGGGUAGCAAACAGGAUUAGAUACCCGAGUAGUC